AACCGUCGCCCACAGGACGUCAAGUUCCCGGGUGGCGGUCUAGACGCCGAGAUCAGAAAUCCCUCUCUCGGAUCGCAUUUGGACUUCUGCCUUCGGGCA
ncrna:HCV-IRES from Hepacivirus C (PDB 5FLX, chain z)